rnacentral:tRNA from 1 species
GGGUUGUUAGCUCAGCUGGUAGAGCACAUGCUUGACGUGCAUGGGGUCAGGGAUUCGAGUUCCUUACAACCCACCA